rnacentral:rRNA from 1 species
CAAGUACCGUUCGAAUAGGGCGGUACCUUGACGGUACCUAACCAGAAAGCCACGGCUAACUACGUGCCAGCAGCCGCGGUAAUACGUAGGUGGCAAGCGUUGUCCGGAAUUAUUGGGCGUAAAGGGCUCGCAGGCGGUUUCUUAAGUCUGAUGUGAAAGCCCCCGGCUCAACCGGGGAGGGUCAUUGGAAACUGGGGAACUUGAGUGCAGAAGAGGAGAGUGGAAUUCCACGUGUAGCGGUGAAAUGCGUAGAGAUGUGGAGGAAUAAAAGUGGCGAAGGCGACUCUCUGGUCUGUAACUGACGCUGAGGAGCGAAAGCGUGGGGAGCGAACAGGAUUAGAUAAAUUGGUAGUCCACGCCGUAAACGAUGAGUGCUAAGUGUUAGGGGGUUUCCGCCCCUUAGUGCUGCAGCUAACGCAUUAAGCACUCCGCCUGGGGAGUACGGUCGCAAUCACCCCAAACUCAAAGGAAUUGACGGGGGCCCGCACAAGCGGUGGAGCAUGUGGUUUAAUUCGAAGCAACGCGAAGAACCUUACCAGGUCUUGACAUCCUCUGACAAUCCUAGAGAUAGGACGUCCCCUUCGGGGGCAGAGUGACAGGUGGUGCAUGGUUGUCGUCAGUUCGUGUCGUGAGAUGUUGGGUUAAGUCCCGCAACAAGCGCAACCCUUGUUCUUUAUUGCCAUCAUU